AAUAGAUACCCUGGUAGUCCACGCCGUAAACGUUGGGAACUAGAUGUAGGGACCAUUCCACGGUUUCUGUGUCGCAGCUAACGCAUUAAGUUCCCCGCCUGGGGAGUACGGCCGCAAGGCUAAAACUCAAAGGAAUUGACGGGGGCCCGCACAAGCGGCGGAGCAUGCGGAUUAAUUCGAUGCAACGCGAAGAACCUUACCAAGGCUUGACAUAUACGAGAACGGGCCAGAAAUGGUCAACUCUUUGGACACUCGUAAACAGGUGGUGCAUGGUUGUCGUCAGCUCGUGUCGUGAGAUGUUGGGUUAAGUCCCGCAACGAGCGCAACCCUCGUUCUAUGUUGCCAGCACGUCAUGGUGGGAACUCAUAGGAGACUGCCGGGGUCAACUCGGAGGAAGGUGGGGAUGACGUCAAAUCAUCAUGCCCCUUAUGUCUUGGGCUUCACGCAUGCUACAAUGGCCGAUACAAAGGGCGUGCAAUACCGUAAGGUGGAGCGAAUCCCAAAAAGUCGGUCUCAGUUCGGAUUGAGGUCUGC
rnacentral:rRNA from 1 species